CCUGAUGACUUGAGCACCUUUGGGAGGUCGGAGUUUAGCUUUUUCAUUUAUGGUCCCGUGCCCCAAUCUUUUAUGUGAGAUCAGAACUAUGUUCUUUAUGAGUUGUUUUUGCUUGUUGCACCGGAUGAUCUUGGGGAUUCUAGCUAUUUUUGCUCCGGGAGGUCUUUGAGAUCUUUGCCGGUCUUCUACCUCAGUGAGGUCUUCUGCCUCAUUGAGGUCUUCUGCCUCAGUGAGGUUUUCUGCCUCUUUGAGGUCUUCUGCCUCUUUUAGGUCUUCUGCCUCUUUGAGGUCUUCUGCCUCAUUGAGGUCUUCUGCCUCUUUGAGGUCUUCUGCCUC
rnacentral:lncRNA from 1 species